AUUGAACGCUGGCGGCAUGCUUUACACAUGCAAGUCGAACGGUAACAGGCCGCAAGGUGCUGACGAGUGGCGAACGGGUGAGUAAUGCAUCGGAACGUGCCCAGUCGUGGGGGAUAACGCAGCGAAAGCUGCGCUAAUACCGCAUACGAUCUAUGGAUGAAAGCGGGGGACCGUAAGGCCUCGCGCGAUUGGAGCGGCCGAUGUCAGAUUAGGUAGUUGGUGGGGUAAAGGCUCACCAAGCCGACGAUCUGUAGCUGGUCUGAGAGGACGACCAGCCACACUGGGACUGAGACACGGCCCAGACUCCUACGGGAGGCAGCAGUGGGGAAUUUUGGACAAUGGGCGCAAGCCUGAUCCAGCAAUGCCGCGUGCAGGAAGAAGGCCUUCGGGUUGUAAACUGCUUUUGUACGGAACGAAACGGUCCUGGUUAAUACCCGGGGCUAAUGACGGUACCGUAAGAAUAAGCACCGGCUAACUACGUGCCAGCAGCCGCCGUAACAC
rnacentral:rRNA from 1 species